GAUGAACGCUGGCGGCGUGCCUAAUACAUGCAAGUCGAGCGAACGGACGAGAAGCUUGCUUUUCUGAUGUUAGCGGCGGACGGGUGAGUAACACGUGGAUAACCUACCUAUAAGACUGGGAUAACUUCGGGAAACCGGAGCUAAUACCGGAUAAUAUUUUGAACCGCAUGGUUCAAAAGUGAAAGACGUCUUGCUGUCACUUAUAGAUGGAUCCGCGCUGCAUUAGCUAGUUGGUAAGGUAACGGCUUACCAAGGCAACGAUGCAUAGCCGACCUGAGAGGGUGAUCGGCCACACUGGAACUGAGACACGGUCCAGACUCCUACGGGAGGCAGCAGUAGGGAAUCUUCCGCAAUGGGCGAAAGCCUGACGGAGCAACGCCGCGUGAGUGAUGAAGGUCUUCGGAUCGUAAAACUCUGUUAUUAGGGAAGAACAUAUGUGUAAGUAACUGUGCACAUCUUGACGGUACCUAAUCAGAAAGCCACGGCUAACUACGUG
rnacentral:rRNA from 1 species